AGCGAACGCUGGCGGCAGGCCUAACACAUGCAAGUCGAACGGCAGCACAGUAAGAGCUUGCUCUUACGGGUGGCGAGUGGCGGACGGGUGAGGAAUACAUCGGAAUCUACUUUUUCGUGGGGGAUAACGUAGGGAAACUUACGCUAAUACCGCAUACGACCUACGGGUGAAAGCAGGGGAUCUUCUGACCUUGUGCUAUUGAAUGAGCCGAUGUCGGAUUAGCUAGUUGGCGGGGUAAAGGCCCACCAAGGCGACGAUCCGUAGCUGGUCUGAGAGGAUGGUCAGCCACACUGGAAGUGAGACACGGCCCAGACUCCUACGGGAGGCAGCAGUGGGGAAUAUUGGACGAUGGGGGCAAGCCUGAUCCAGCCAUACCGCGUGGAUGAAGAAGGCCUUCGGGUUGUAAAGCCCUUUUGUUGGGAAAGAAAAGCAGCAGGUUAAUACCCCACUGUUCUGACGGUACCCAAAGAAUAAGCACCGGCUAACUUCGUG
rnacentral:rRNA from 1 species